rnacentral:rRNA from 1 species
UACAGAGGUCUCAAGCGUUGUUCGGAUUUAUUGGGCGUAAAGAGCUCGUAGGCGGCUCGUUGCGUCGGCUGUGAAAACCCGCAGCUCAACUGUGGGCUUGCAGCUGAUACGGGCGGGCUGGAGUUCGGUAGGGGAGACUGGAAUUCCUGGUGUAGCGGUGAAAUGCGCAGAUAUCAGGAGGAACACCGGUGGCGAAGGCGGGUCUCUGGGCCGAUACUGACGCUGAGGAGCGAAAGCGUGGGGAGCGAACAGG